GGUUGGCGCCAGCGCCAGGCCGGCUCCCUCUCCCGCACCGCCUCUGCGCCGGCUACAAAAGGCGCCACAGGUGCGCCCCCCUGCACCCCGCGCUCCGGCCUCCCCUCUUCCCCUUCCGAGCUUUCGUUCCGGCCGCGCCUCUGCUCUGCUCUCCCGAGCCGCCUCCACGCGUCUCCGCGACCGUUUCCUUCCCCUUGUCCGUCAAUUCUCGAUUCGUUUCGAAUCGCGAUUGAUUUCGCUCCUCGUCGCCUCCGCUCCCUGUGCUCGCAGGGGAUUCGGCGCGUCCCGUCCUUCUCCGGGAGCGAGCGAGCGAACGAUCGAUCGAUCGAUCGAUCGGGGAUUCCGUCGAGCCGUCCGGCUAUGCCUCUGCGUCUGAUUUGAUUUCGGGUGACCCCAGGGCCGAAGCAAGGUCAGUUUCCGGUGCUCGGUCGGUCAGAUCGAUUCCUUGGUUCCGUCACCUGCCUCUGCGUUCGUCUCGUCGGCGGUUUCAGAUUUGAAUUGAAUUGAACGGCUGUCGCCCGUGCUGUCAUCAGUUAAUACGAGGUGAAUUCGAGGCCCUCGUGGAUUCUUGUUGUACCGGCUGAUCUUGCUUUUGGCAUAUGUGCUCUCGGUCCUAGAUGCAGAAGAGGGCGAGCGCUCUCGGUCAGAUCUUCUCGGGUGAUGAUGCUUUUGACCUCUUACCAACCUGGAACCGGUGAUCUGAGUUUGGAUAAUAAUUAAAUCCCUCCCAGUUUAGUUUCUUGGUCCCCCCAGUAGUCAAUGGCAAUUCUGAUUUCGAUCUGUUGGCGCUUCUCCAGAUAUUGGAUUAAAGGCAUAGGGGGAGCGGCAUAUCUUACCUGUGUCUGGAUGAUUAUUACAUUACCUCCUCUGUUUAAUUCCUAAAUCUACACGGUUCAAUUUUAGUUGGUUCUCAUUUAGAUUUCUUGAUGAUUGUCCAGAAAUUGGGAUUAUACGGCUUAGCGGGAUUUACUUGUCAUCCUUCAUGACCUGUGUUUGAAUAAUCAUACUCUCUGUCUAUUUUCUUUUCUUCACAGUUCUGUUAGUCUCCACACAAUUCCGAUUUGGAUUUUGGAUUUGUUGCUGGUACUCCAGAUAUUGGAAUUGUACGGCUUAGCGGGUGGCCCUAUUUUCCCUCGGCACGGCGGUUCUUCUAUGGCGCAACAUUUUCUUACUCAUCAAUAAUAUAAUUAGAACACACCAGACAAGUUUCUCUGCCUUAGUUUUGUCAUUCUCAGCUCUUGCAGACACCAUCUUGGAAGGGAUAUAAUUGGAAUCGGUGCUGUCUACCUGAGCUUCCCAGCCCAAACUUCCUUAUAACUUCUACUCCUCGUUUGAAUGCUUUAGUUGAGCCUAGUUUUCCCCUAAUUUAUAGAGACACAUCUUGCCCGUUGCAGGUUUGACGAAUGCAAAGUCCAACCUGAUGCUGAGUUCAAUCUGUUUGCAGUUUUUUCUAAAUCUAAUCUCUAAUCAAUUCAUCAUUACUUAGAUAACCUUUAAAAUCUUCUCACUAGGCAAUAUUUUAAAUUCAGAUUUAUCUACGAAGGUGCCAGAUGGAGAUUCAAACUUGGCAAACCUUACAAGCAGAAAAGAGACUCCUCCAUUUUUAACUCUCAUCUCUUAUUUUUAUAUCACCUAGCUACUUGUACAUGCCUUUGAUUUAGGCUUUUUUCUGCCCCUGUGAUUGCAGAUUUAUUUUAGCCCAGAGCGUGCUGGUAGUCGAAAUCUGUUAAAAUCGUUUGGUUUGCAUUCUAUCUCUAUGCGGUUCAAUUCAUUAUCUGUACUCUUAUCCUGUCGACUGCAGGACAUAGUUAGGAAGUUUGGGCUUAUGGGUAAAUCUCUGUACAGUGAGUCAGGUUGUUUGGUUUAGUUGUGUUCCUCCACACAUUGGUUGCAGGAUUGGAUCUGGAAUGUGGAGAGCCCUGUGGUGUUGUAUGUUGAAGGGGCUCUGAGCAGGUCAGGUUUGAAUGGCUAUUGCCUGUGUGGUCUUCUGGUUCUCAUCACGUGUUUCUUCAUCAUCAGCUAAUAUGAGGUGGAUUAGAGAGGUCCUGGUGGAUUCUUAUUACCAGCUGAUCGCGCUUUUGGUGUGUGUUUGUGCUCCUUUGCUUGCAGCAGAUGCAGAGUGUAGUAAGAUGAAUCAUAGGGUGGAGAUUUGGUUUCUGUUAGUCAUUUUGAUUGAUUGGAUAAUGAAGCUUUGGAUCUCUUACCAACCUGGAACUUGUGAUCUGCGUUUGGAUAAUAUAUAUUCCAUCCCAAUUCAAUUUAUUUGGCUUGCACAAUACAAUUUAUCCCUUGGUAGUUCUGAUCUGUAUUCAUUUGUGGUUUUCCAGAAAUUGGGGUUAAUUGGUUGAUUGGAUAAUGAAGCUUUGGAACCUGGAACUUGCGAUCAGUGUUUGGAUAAUGAAUUCCGUCUCGAUUCAGUUUAUUUGGUUUGCACAGUACAAUUUAGUCCUGGCAGUUCUGAUCUGUAUUCGUUUGUGGUUUUUCAGAAAUUGGGCUUAGUAAGGUUUAGCAGGAGCAACCUAUCUUCUUGCUGAUUUGCAUUUGGAUGAUUACGAACCCCUCUAUUUAAUUCCUUCUCCUCAAUUCAAUUUUAGUCUCCGACAAUUCUGAUUUGGAUCUGUUGCUGGUUGUCCAGAAAUUAGGAUUAUAUGGCUUAGCGGGAGCGACCUAUCUUCUUGCUGACCUGUGCUUGGAUGAUCAUUACUCUCUCUGUUCAGUUUCUUCUCCAUAGCUCAAUUAGUUGCCGGACAAUUCUGAUUUAGUUUUUUUGCUGGUUCUCCAGAAAUUGGAAUUAUAUGGCUUAGCGGGUGGUCCUAUUUUUCCUCGGCAUGGUGGUUCUUUCUGUGGCCCAACAUAUCCGGCCUUUAUCCUCCCUUGAUAAUUUAACUUCCAAAAUAGUUUCUUUGCCUUGGUUGGUAAUUCUCAGCUCUUGCAGAUGUUGACUUGGGAGCAAAAUAAUUGGAACCAGUGUUGUCUACCUGACUUUCCGGCUGAGACAUGCUUACUUACCCUUUACCUCAACAUUUGAUGCAUGCUUUAGCUGAGCCUACUUUUCCUCUUAAAGGUAUCUUCCUCGUUGCAGGUCAUAGUUGAUUGAACUCGUCCAACCUGAUGCCGACUUGAAUCUGUUUGCAGCCUUUAAAAUCAUCUUACCAGACAAUAUUUUGAAUUCUUAUUUAUCUUCCAAGGUUCAACCAUGAAGAUUCAAACUAAUGGAACAUCCUAUAAUGAAAAGACUGGUCCAGUUUUAACUUGCCUCUUAUUUUUGUUUCACGUAGCUACUUGUUCAUGUCUUUGAUUUAGGUUUUUCCUUCUACCCUCCCUUUGGUUGCAGAUUAAGCCCAAACCAUGCUGGUAGUGUGUUGGUAUCUGUUGUUUGCGAUCUAUCUAUCUCUCCCUGGGUCAAUUUGUUGUUUGUACUCUUGAUCCCUGUGCUUGUCUUCUGCGCGUAUCAGUUGCAGGAUAUAUUUAGGAAGUCUGGGCCUGUGUGCAGGAUACAUAUUUGGAUAUGUUGGUGGUUCUCCAGAAAUUGGAAUUAUAUGGCUUAACGGGAGCGACGCAUCUUGCUGCUCUGCGUUUGGAUAAUUAUCACUCCCUCUGUUCUGUCUUGGCUUCCCACAAUUCUGAUUUAAACUAUUUCUUGGUGGCUCUCCAGAAAUUGGAGUAAUAUGGCUUAGAAGGCGGUCCUAUUUUGCCUCGGCAUGGCGGUGCUGCUCUGCGUUUGGAUAAUUAUCACUCCCUCUGUUUUACUCUUUUGUCUCCACUGUUCUGUUUUGGUUUCCCACAAUUCUGAUUUAAACUAUUUCUUGGUAGCUCUCCAGAAAUUGGAAUAAUAUGGCUUAGAAGGCGGUCCUAUUUGCCUCGUAUGGCGGUUCUAUCUGCGGCUAAAACUUUUUCAACCUUUUUUACUCUAUAAUUGAACUCGCUAGACAUUAGGUUUUCUUUGCCUCAGUAAUUAUCAGCUCUUGCAGAUACUGACUUGGAAAGGAUAUAACUGCAGUUUGGAACCGGCGUUUUUGUCCUCCAUCAUCCAUACCUGACCCUAGACAGGCUUUACUUGUUCCCACUCAUCAUCCAUGCUUUAGCUAUUUAUAAGCAGCAUUUCCCCUAACAAUUUUUUUUUAUAGAAACGGUCUCUUGCUCGCUGCAGGUUGUAGUUGACGAACUCCUGUCCAGUUUGAUGAAUCCGUUUACUGAUCUUCAAAAUCAACUAGUACCGUUUCAAUUCAUUGUAACUUACAUAACUUAUAAAUUAUCUUACUAGACAAUGUUUUAAAUACAGAUUCAUAUGCAGCACAAAUAUAAGGAUAAUCCAGAGCUUUCAAAUAAUGGCACAUCCUACAACCGAAAAAGACUCUUACCUUCCUAUAUUUUUUAGUUUCAUUUAGUUACUUCGCCAUCUCUCUGAUAUAGGUUUUUGCCCCUGCCCUUCCUAUGAUUGCAGAUUUUUCUUUAGCCCAGGCCAUGUGGGCAAUGACUAGCUCUUCAUGAUUAUUAUCUGUACUCCUGAUCCCUGUGUUCUCUUGGUCUUCUGCGUGUGUGGGUUGGCAAGAUAUAAUUUUGUUAGGAGUUUGGGCCCAAACCUUUGCUCUGGAGUCAGGACUGGACCUCGAUCUGGUCUGGAAGUGAAGCUCCAUGUGGUGUGUGAACGUAUGGUGAAGGGGACUCGAGGCAGGUCAGUUUCCCAUGUUUGGUCACAUUGGUUUACUGGAUUCCUCAUCUGUGCUUGGUGACGUCAGAUUUGAGUGGCUAUACAUUAAGUUCUUUGAUUUAUGUUCGUCUGAUGGCUGUUUGGGAUCUUCGUUCGGAAUCUUCUUCAACCACAAAAACUUACACCUGGACUCCAGCUUGUUUCAACUGAUUUACCAGAUUUCACUAUGGUCUGACUUUCCAUGAAGAAACUUUAAGUAUGCUGAUUAUAUUUGGGCCGUCCAUUGAUUUGCAUUGUUGGAGGUUUUAUUGCAAGAUUGUAGAGUUGGAUAGACAGUUAGCGUGGGGACUUGGUGAAGCAAAUGGACUUUCCUGAUGGUUUUGACCUCUGAUUACUGAUCCUGAAGCAUAAUGAUUUGGUCUUUGUGGUAGUUUUCAGUUUGAACUUGCAUUCAGUGGCCUCAUAUCUUUGGUGCAGCUUGGAGUUGGUAGUGUGCACAUCUGAUGAUUCUUUCAACUGUCCUGAAGCAUCUUACUUGGUUCUGUUGUGCCAUCCUACUGGUUACAGUAUCUUAUUCAACUUGCAUGUGGUUUGGAUGGAAUAUGAUCUUAUAUUUUGCUCGAAUCAAGAAAAUGCUAGAAGUUUCAAACAAGGGUCCAAAAUGGAAAUAUCAGUUCGUACUCAGUUUGUAUAGCAGAUUAUCAAAGUUUGACUUGGCUAUUAAUUACCUGGUUACCAUACUGUUUCAUGAAGUUUGGUUUUGGUAUUUGGCUGCUUGUAUAUUUUAACUUGCAAAUUUAUCACCUAAUAGGAAGUAAAGAUCGCAUGUACAUGAGCUUUGGAUGCAGUAAAAAUGUUAAGCAUAUUAUAUGAAUAUAUGUGAAUUGGUCAUACUUGGAUUUGUCAGUCUACUAUUCUACAUACUCUUGUCCAUGAUUGUACUUGGUUUGUUUAUAUACGUUCUUUAGGUUCAUCUUAUGACACAAAAUUAAAUUUUGGUGUGCACAUAAUUUUUAACUGAAAGAUCCCACCCUUGCACUUGUGUUGGUUUAACAGUAGUGGCCUCCUGUAGUUGGGUAGUAUUGAUGACUUGACAUGCAGAAAGAGGUUAGGAGUUCUUGCUAUAUAUGUACUAUAAAACAAUGAAGAGUUGAAGGUUCUGAACUGGAAGCUUGAACAAAUAUUUUGCCCUGAACACUCCACCAAUGUCCACUGAAUAUGAUUCUGGUUUGUUGGUCUGGAGUUGAUUUUCAGAAGUGAUGUUCUUCUUAUUGGUGCUUCUCAUGUGAGAUCUGGAUUCUUCAAUGCAUCUUCUCGGUUUGCUGGGGAACUUCCUACGUUAAAUUGACAACUAGCAAAACAGUCUGGCUAAUUUGAUGAUUCCUAAACACACUGGCAAAUAUGAUGAUGAAUCCCACUGAUUACUUUCAACAUACGGCAGUUUGUUUUCGUACUUCAUUCAUCCUGGAUUUAAAGACACAAAGCGCUCACACAUCUCUACGGUCUUCCAAUGGCUCAUUUGAUCUCUUUACAGCAAACUGCUAACUUGAUCUCGAUUAUGGAAUCUUCCAAUACAUAUUCUUAUUAAAUAUAUAUAAUAUAUAUAAUUUCAUAGCAUUUACACAUCUGGCAGCCCUCUAAUGGCUAAUUUGACCUUCUUUUUGGCCGAAAUGCUAAUUUGAUAUGGAUUAUGGAAUCUUCAAUUACGUAAAUCUAUAAUUUCAUGGCGUUCACACAUCUGACAGUCCUCUAAUGGCUAAUUGACCUUCUUUUCUGGCGAACUGCUAAUUUGAUCUGGAUUCUGAAUCUUGAACCACAUAUUCUCUUUAAUUACAUAUAUAUUCGUAGUUUUCUGGAAACUUCCUAGUUUUAAUUUAGUUGGCAAGUAGCAAAAGUACUAAUUUGAUUAUUCCUGUCAAUUGCUUAGACAAACCCAUUCUGUUUCAUACUACAUAAUAAUCCUAUAUAGAUUAUAGACACGGAAGUAUCUGUUAACAAUUCUUACGGUCCUCUGACCCUGUAUAAACUACAAAAGCUUUCUCUGUGCAAAGAUUUGAAUCUAGCUCAUCCCACUAGAUAAAUUAGUUACUCCCAUUCAGGUUCUGGAAUUUAUGGCAUUCUUUGUUUGCGCCCCAUGUCAGUCUUAUGAUGUUGUGAAAACUUUGCGUGAAUAUUUAUUGCCAAUCGCUUGUCGUGCCAAUGUUGCCUUUGGUUGAUUGCGUGGCUUGUAUGCUUAGCUGAAUAUAAUUGUUUGUAGUGUUUGCUGUUUUUUGUGUUUAUGUAGGAGUAGUUUAACACUGCCUUUGCCGGUCCCAAGCCCGGAUGAGAAAAUGUGGAGGGGACUGCAGUUAGCUCCUCUGUAUCGUUUACAUUGAGUAGCAGUGAAUGAUGUGAGUAAGUUGCACAGACUGUCUAGUCGAAUACCGAAUCGUCACACAAUGUGGUGGCAAGCUUUGGAAUGCAUCCUUUGCUAUGAAGAAUCUGGGCAAGUGUAAUUUGUAGUCAGUCAGACUCCUCCAGGAACUUGCUGAUUACUAGCUGUACAAGGUCAGUGUGUUUUACUUACGUUCCCAGAGGGAAGUGAGUGUAUAGGAAGCUUUGAAUGAAAGGCCUCAUGUACCACACAAUUCUCAAGAAAAGAUGUAGUUCAAUUGUUGUGGGUAAACUGCUUCCCUAGAAAAUGUUGUGGUAUUGUAGGUAAUGGCAGCCUGACCCGCAGUGUAGCAGAUGCAAGCAAGUGGGGAUGGUUCACAAGUUCCCUGAUAAUUCCAGUUUCAGUAAACUAGCAGGUAUGGUUUGCAUGACUGAUCCUGGAUGGGCGUGGUAAUCAUAGCUCAUAGCAGUGAUUCAGGAGUUGGGAAAUAUGUACUCCCUCUGUAAAGAAAUAUAAAAGCGUUUAGAACACUACUUUAGUGACCUAAGCGCUCUUAUACUUCUUUACGGAGGGAUUUAAUUACCACUAGUUGAGUUAAUGAUGUGUACUAGGUUAGUAGAGGAAUUGUAAUAAUCUGUCAAAGCAAGUUCAGGGUGUGUUGGGAAAUACUUCCUUCGUAAAGAAAUAUAAGAGAAGCUGGUUGUCCUUGA